UUGUGGGCUAGCUACACCAGUGUUAUUCAGGUGAGUCACGUAUUUGGGACUUCGAAUACCAUCAAGGCAUUUCAUCGCGGCUUAUAUACCGGAUUUAUCUCCAAAACAACUCUCUGUGUCAUCACAUCCAGUUCAAAAAGUGUGGAAAUCUGAACACUCUUUAUAAUUUAGGAGUCUUAGAUAUGUUGUACAGUAGCUCAGUGGCAUUCACUUCUUUUGCAUUCCCUUUGUAGCUUUAGCCUUUAACAAAUGUUGCUUGGAUGCUACAAAAUUGCAGAACAUUAUAUUGGGGUAUCCGACAAUGCAUCCGUUGACAUUGCUUGCACAAAUUAUGUGCAGAGUUACUCUAAACAUGGUGUGCAUUGUUAGUUUGGGGAAAAACUUGCAUACAUUCCCUCAAGUGUCUAAUAUAAUUGUUAAAGGUCUAUACACCAACCAACACUUUCAUUCUCUUCUGGAGAGAGCUCGUUGUAUUCUCUCAAAUGUGUGAUUGUGUCAUCGUCUUGAUUUUUGGGCUGAGGCUAUUUCUACAAUUUGUUAUCUUGUCAAUCGAUCUCCAUACUCAUCCAUUAACAUCAAAAUUCCAGAAGAAGUUUGAUCAAGUCCUAUGAAUUUCUCAAAUGUAAAAGUACUUGGAUACCCUGCUUUUGCCCAUGUUAAUGAUAGGAAGUUAGCUCCAACGGUUGUUAAAUGCUUAUUUCUUGGCUAUGCUUCUGAGUCGAAAGGUUAUCGUUUAUUGUGCCAGAUUUGAGAAAAAUUAUUUUGAGUAGAGACAUUACUUUUAAAGAAAAUGCAUUGUUGUGUUCUGAAAAAGAGCAUUCUGUAUUAUCUUAUGGUAUAAAUGAUCAACAAGGUACCUAUGAGAUGGGGGAGUUAGAAAUGAGAACUAAAUCUCAUAAUAUUGACCCUAUCUCUUUUACAGUUCCACAGUCAACCAGUGAUGCUCGUGUUGGUGAACAAUUUUCCAGUACUAUAUGUCCCGUUGAGCCAAAAUUUGUUGAUGAUUCUUCUAUUGCUCAUAAUAGACCAAGGAGAGUUAUUAGAAAACCCAACAGAGGCAAUCACUAGUUCUAAUUCAUCUCAGUGGCUGGAAGCAAUGCAAGAAGAAAAGUCUGCAUAAGAAUACGACAUAGGAUUUAUGUGAGCUUCCUAAAGGUCAUCGUGCACUAGACUGCAAAUGGAUCUAUAAACGAAAAGAUGGGAUUCCUUGGGUUGAAAAUUCAAUAUGGAAACCUUGUUUAGUUGUCCAAGGCUUUGCCCAAAAUGAAGGUAUUGAUUUAAUGAAGUUUUCUCUCCAUUAGUUUGUAAUUCUUCCAUAAGAGUAAUUCUUGCCUUUGUUGCACUAUUUGAUUUGGAAUUGGAACAAUAAGAUGUCAAAACUGCUUUUCUGCAUGGAGAAUUGAAGGACGAAAUUUAUAUGAAUCAACAUGAGGGUUUUGGUGUUCAUGAAAAUUAACAAUGUGUUUGUCGUUUCCAGAAGGUCCUUGUAUGGACUUAAACAAGCACCUACACAGUGGUACAAGAGAUUUGAUGCUUUUAUGGUUAGUCAAAGCUAUACCAAAAGUCAAUGUGAUAAUAGUGUGUACUUUAAAUAGUCUUCAAAUGGUUCAUUUAUUUACUUUUUAUUAUAUGUGGAUGAAAUGUUGAUUGCUUUAAAAGACAUGUCUUUGAUCAACAAGUUAAAGUCUCAACUUAGUAAUGAGUUUUAGAUGAAGAACCUUGGUGCAGCAAAGAAGAUUACAAGAAUGGAAAUUCAUAGAGAACGACAAGCUGCAAAGCUAUACUUGUCUCAGAAAAAUACAUUGAGAAGAUCCUUGACAAGUUGAACAUGAGUAAGAGAAGGCCUGUCUCAACUCCUCUAGCAGCUCACUUCAAGAUAUCUUCUGAAUUUUGUUCAAAAACAGAUGAAGAACUUGAACUGAUGUCUAACAUUCCCUACUCUAGUGCAGUUGGUAGUCUUAUGUAUGUCAUGGUUUGCACUAGACCCGAUCUUACAUAUGCAGUGAGUAUGGUGAGUCGGUAUAUGCACAAUCCUGGCAAGUAUCAUUUGGAUGUGGUGAAAUGGAUUUUCUGAUACUUGAUAGGUACAGUUAAUCAUGGCUUAGUUUUUGACAUGAAUAAGAUGAUAUCGAAUGAUGUUGUUGGGUUUGUUGAUUCUGAUUAAGUUGGUGAUCUUGAUAGGCGCAGAUCUCUAUCCGGAUAUAUCUUGUCUUUAUGUUUAGGUUCUAUCAGUUGGAAAGCAUCUUUGCAAUCCAUUCUUGCUCUAUCCAGUAUAGAAGCAGAAUAUGUUGCAGCUAUAGAAGGUGAGAAGGAGGCUACAUGGUUGUGUGGUCUUGAGCUUGGUGUUCAACAAGAUACUAUUAUUGUGUUUUCAGAUAGUCAUAGUGCAAUACAUCUAAUGAAAAAAAUGAUGCAUAUCAUUCCGAGAAUAAGCAUAUUGAAAUAUCAUUAUAUCAGAAACACAAUGACUAAGGGAGAGAUUGUAGUCAAGAAAAUUUACACUACAGAAAAUCCUACAGAUAUGCUUACUAAGUCACUUCCUCUUCUUAACUUUAAACAUAUUUUGAACUUAGCUAGUGUUUACAACACUUGAUUUCCCUUGGGGGCUUUUAUGGUAAUGACAAGCAUGUGCUAAAUUUGAGCCAUGGUGGAUAUAAAUUCUUUUUCUUGUUGAUUUUGCCUACUCAUGUCAGCAUUUCUUAGGACUUUCCCAGUUCAGGAAGGCUGAACAGAUCAUGGGAUUAUGGUGCAGUAAUGGACACCAUUUUCAUGGGAAGUGGAGCCUAAUUUUAUGGGCAUUUUCUAUUUCUUUGUACCAGAUAGUGAAGCCUAAGUUUCUGAGCAUGUUCUGUUUUGUGACAUAAAAACAAAAGAAUUUAGUUGUCUUUUUUCUUUUCCUCAUAUUUGAGUUCCGUAGAACUUUAAAUUGUACUCUACCUUCAAUAUAGUGAAAUUGCUCGUCAUUA